UACAGAGGGGGCAAGCGUUGUUCGGAAUUACCGGGCGUAAAGGGCGCGUAGGCGGCCUUCUAAGUCGAACGUGAAAUCCCCGGGCUCAACCCGGGAACUGCGUCCGAUACUGGAAGGCUUGGAUCCGGGAGAGGGAUGCGGAAUUCCAGGUGUAGCGGUGAAAUGCGUAGAUAUCUGGAGGAACACCGGUGGCGAAGGCAGCCUUCUGGGCCAACACUGACGCUCAUGCACGAAAGCGUGGGGAGCAAACAGG
rnacentral:rRNA from 1 species